rnacentral:tRNA from 1 species
UUUAAGAUAAGCUAUGUAAGCUAUGUGACUCAUAAUCACAUGAAGACCCUCUCUCUUCAAA